rnacentral:antisense_RNA from 1 species
AGGAGAGAGAGAGAAAAAAAAGACAACAUUCCUAGUGAUCUUUCCGUGGGACUGCGGCAAGGAGGCAGCAGGCACAGUGAAACUGGGCGGCGAUGGAUACUCCCAGCACUUGCUGAGCACUGCUACGCCUCAGGACUGGGACAGAGAGAACCAUUCUCUGCUUUCAAUAGGACAGAAGAGCUCCUUGGCACUGGAUGCCUCCGGGUCUGGUUGAGAGAGGAAUGGUUAGGAGACUGUUCUGAGGAUACGCAGACAUCAUCCAAAGCUUCCUACAUUCAGAUGAGGACAGAGGUUGGGCCAGAGCUUUGUAUGCUUGUUACCUAAGGAUGGUUCUGACCAUGUAAGCAGAUCACAGAAGCUAUUCACAGAUCAUCAUCAGCCAGAGGUGACUUCUGUUGCUUGCAGCUCAGAAUCCUAGAUGUUUCUGGUGGCACUGAAGAGCCUCUGCUGAAGCUCUAUACCAUUUGCCAUUUACAAAGGGAAAUGAAAUAAUAACGCUGACCAUUUGUGGAGCACAUUCUGUCUGGAGGCAAAGGAUGCCAAGAUGGGAAAGCCACAUAAUGGAAGGAUCCUGGAUUUCAGAGCUGUCACUUGGAGGAGGGGCACCCAGUGAAGGUGUCUUAUCUAACCCACACCAUAUCUUCAUGAAGUGGCCAUAUGGAUUUGAUCCCUAUCCUUCAGAGGUGCUCAGCCUAAGGGAACACGGAUAGUAGAUUAAGCACUGACCAGAGCCAGCCUUGACAAUGUGCUGUUGGCAACCU